AACCUUAUGGACCUGCGGGCGUAUACCUGCGGAGGGAUCAUUACAAGUGACCCCGGUCUAACCACCGGGAUGUUCAUAACCCUUUGCUGUCCGACUCUGUUGCCUCCGGGGCGACCCUGCCUUCGGGCGGGGGCUCCGGGUGGACACUUCAAACUCUUGCGUAACUUUGCAGUCUGAGUAAACUUAAUUAAUAAAUUAAAACUUUUAACAACGGAUCU
rnacentral:misc_RNA from 1 species